rnacentral:rRNA from 1 species
UACGUAGGGGGCGAGCGUUGUUCGGAAUUACUGGGCGUAAAGCGCACGUAGGCGGCUUUGUAAGUUAGAGGUGAAAGCCCGGGGCUCAACUCCGGAAUUGCCUUUAAGACUGCAUCGCUAGAAUUGUGGAGAGGUAAGUGGAAUUCCGAGUGUAGAGGUGAAAUUCGUAGAUAUUCGGAAGAACACCAGUGGCGAAGGCGACUUACUGGACACAUAUUGACGCUGAGGUGGCGAAAAGCGUGGGGAGCAAACAGG